rnacentral:rRNA from 1 species
GACGAACGCUGGCGGCGUGCCUAAUACAUGCAAGUCGAGCGGACAGAAGGGAGCUUGCUCCCGGAUGUUAGCGGCGGACGGGUGAGUAACACGUGGGUAACCUGCCUGUAAGACUGGGAUAACUCCGGGAAACCGGAGCUAAUACCGGAUAGUUCCUUGAACCGCCUGGUUCAAGGAUGAAAGACGGUUUAGGCUGUCACUUACAGAUGGACCCGCUGCGCAUUAGCUAGUUGGUAAGGUAACGGCUCACCAAGGCCACGAUGCGUGGCCGACAUGAGAGGGUCAUCGGCCACACUGGGACUGAGACACGGCCCAGACUCCUACGGGAGGCAGCAGUAGGGAAUCUUCCGCAAUGGACGAAAGUCUGACGGAGCAACGCCGCGUGAGUGAUGAAGGUUUUCGGAUCGUAAAGCUCUGUUGUUAGGGAAGAACAAGUGCAAGAGUAACUGCUUGCACCUUGACGGUACCUAACCAGAAAGCCACGGCUAACUACGUGCCAGACGCCGCCGUAACAC